rnacentral:rRNA from 1 species
CCCCUAGAUGUUCUGGGCCGCACGCGCGCUACACUGAACAGUUCAACAAGUCUUAACCUUGGCCGAUAGGUCUGGGUAAUCUUUGAACGCUGUUCGUGAUUGGGAUAGACCUUUGCAAUUAUGGGUCUUCAACGAGGAAUUCCUAGUAAACGCAAGUCAUCAGCUUGCAUUGAUUACGUCCCUGCCCUUUGUACACACCGCCCGUCGCACCUACCGAUUGAAUGGUCCGGUGAAAUCUCGGGACGGCGGCUUGGUCGCUUGCGUCCGACUGCUGAAACUUGAUUAAACCAUAUCAUUUAGAGGAACAAGAAGUCGUAACA